GCAUCCUCAAAAGGCCAGUUGGCUAAGAUCAUGUGUAGUCUCUGUUCUUUAUAGAUUGACAUCAAUGAGGUGAUCCGAUUGUUGCGACCACCUCUCAUUGUCAUGCCGAUUUUUGCAACAAGGAGGAGCAGCUCAUGCACAAAUGCCUCUGCUUCAUGGGUGUCCCUGCACCGCAGUGCUGCUCAGUGACGCCUAGCCAAG
rnacentral:snRNA from 1 species